GGGAGAUUGGCGCAGCGGGAGCGCAGUUGCCUUACAAGCAAACGGUCACAGGUUCAAAUCCUGUAUCUCCCACCA
rnacentral:tRNA from 1 species